rnacentral:rRNA from 1 species
AGUGAACGCUGGCGGUAGGCCUAACACAUGCAAGUCGAACGGCAGCACAGUAAGAGCUUGCUCUUACGGGUGGCGAGUGGCGGACGGGUGAGGAAUACAUCGGAAUCUACUUUUUUGUGGGGGAUAACGUAGGGAAACUUACGCUAAUACCGCAUACGACCUACGGGUGAAAGCAGGGGAUCUUCGGACCUUGCGCGAUUGAAUGAGCCGAUGUCGGAUUAGCUAGUUGGCGGGGUAAAGGCCCACCAAGGCGACGAUCCGUAGCUGGUCUGAGAGGAUGAUCAGCCACACUGGAACUGAGACACGGUCCAGACUCCUACGGGAGGCAGCAGUGGGGAAUAUUGGACAAAGGGCGCAAGCCUGAUCCAGCCAUACCGCGUGGGUGAAGAAGGCCUUCGGGUUGUAAAGCCCUUUUGUUGGGAAAGAAAAGCAGCAGGUUAAUACCCCGCUGUUCUGACGGUACCCAAAGAAUAAGCACCGGCUAACUUCGUG